CAUGCAAGUCGAGCGGUAGAGAGAAGCUUGCUUCUCUUGAGAGCGGCGGACGGGUGAGUAAUGCCUAGGAAUCUGCCUGGUAGUGGGGGAUAACGCUCGGAAACGGACGCUAAUACCGCAUACGUCCUACGGGAGAAAGCAGGGGACCUUCGGGCCUUGCGCUAUCAGAUGAGCCUAGGUCGGAUUAGCUAGUUGGUGAGGUAAUGGCUCACCAAGGCGACGAUCCGUAACUGGUCUGAGAGGAUGAUCAGUCACACUGGAACUGAGACACGGUCCAGACUCCUACGGGAGGCAGCAGUGGGGAAUAUUGGACAAUGGGCGAAAGCCUGAUCCAGCCAUGCCGCGUGUGUGAAGAAGGUCUUCGGAUUGUAAAGCACUUUAAGUUGGGAGGAAGGGCAUUAACCUAAUACGUUGGUGUCUUGACGUUACCGACAGAAUAAGCACCGGCUAACUCUGUGCCAGCAGCCGCGGUAAUACAGAGGGUGCAAGCGUUAAUCGGAAUUACUGGGCGUAAAGCGCGCGUAGGUGGUUCGUUAAGUUGGAUGUGAAAUCCCCGGGCUCAACCUGGGAACUGCAUUCAAAACUGACGAGCUAGAGUAUGGUAGAGGGUGGUGGAAUUUCCUGUGUAGCGGUGAAAUGCGUAGAUAUAGGAAGGAACACCAGUGGCGAAGGCGACCACCUGGACUGAUACUGACACUGAUGUGCGAAAGCGUGGGGAGCAAACAGGAUUAGAUACCCUGGUAGUCCACGCCGUAAACGAUGUCAACUAGCCGUUGGGAGCCUUGAGCUCUUAGUGGCGCAGCUAACGCAUUAAGUUGACCGCCUGGGGAGUACGGCCGCAAGGUUAAAACUCAAAUGAUUUGACGGGGGCCCGCACAAGCGGUGGAGCAUGUGGUUUAAUUCGAAGCAAC
rnacentral:rRNA from 1 species